rnacentral:misc_RNA from 1 species
AUGGGAUUGGUCUCCAUGACCUAACCUUCAACCCUUUGUUUCAACAACCCUUGUUUCUUUGGCGGGUUCGCCCGUCAGAAGAAUACUUAAACUCAUUUAAACCAUGUCUUCUGAAAAUACAAAACAAAUAAAAUUA